rnacentral:rRNA from 1 species
AGUGAACGCUGGCGGUAGGCCUAACACAUGCAAGUCGAACGGCAGCACAGUAAGAGCUUGCUCUUACGGGUGGCGAGUGGCGGACGGGUGAGGAAUACAUCGGAAUCUACUCUUUCGGGGGGGAUAACGUAGGUAAACUUACGCUAAUAUCGCAUACGAUCUACGGGUGAAAGCAGGGGAUCUUCUGACCUUGCGCGAUUGAAUGCGCCGAUGUCGGAUUAGCUAGUUGGCGGGGUAAAGGCCCAGCAAGGCGACGAUCCGUAGCUGGUCUGAGAGGAUGAUCAGCCACACUGGAACUGCGACACGGUCCAGACUCCUACGGGAGGCAGCAGAGGGGAAUAUUGGACAAUGGGCGCAAGCCUGAUCCAGCCAGACCGCGUGGGUGAAGAAGGCCUUCGGGUUGUAAAGCCCUUUUGUUGGGAAAGAAAAGCAGCAGGUUAAUACCCCGCUGUUCUGACGGUACCCAAAGAAUAAGCACCGGCUAACUUCGUG